ensembl:snRNA U6 U6 spliceosomal RNA
UUGCUUUGGUAGCAAAUAUACUAAAACUGAAAUGAUAAAGAAAUUAGCAACAGUCCCCAAGCAAGGAUGACAUGCAAGUUAGUGAAGCAUUCUAUAUUAUA